UCUCUGGUAGCUUAGGUGAUAAAGAAUCUGCUUGCAGUGCAGGAGAUUUGAGUUCGAUUCCUGACUUGGGAA
rnacentral:tRNA from 1 species